CAAUAUUUCAAAUUUAAUUGAACCGAUGACAUGAGUGACAGAAAUGGGGAGCGUAUGGUGUACACGUACAUAGCACUCAUAAGCCUGCAGGAAAGACACACAAAUGAAUUGCAUCAGAACAAGCAUAUAUCCUUUUACAGUACAUUGUACUGCACAGUAUGGUGACAAAUGAGGAUGAUCUACAUGAUGAGAGAUAUAUUUUCCAGUUUUGAGCAAAAAGAUCAUAGUUUUCCAGGGUGACCCUAUGGAACAGCCAGUGGAAUCAAUGGAUGUCAGGAUGGGACAAGUAUCCCCCUCUGGUU